ensembl:lncRNA
GGCACAUUACAUACUGCACCCCCUAGAAAGCUGACCACUGUAUAGAGCAAUAAAAUGGCCUAUUGAAGGCAUAGCUGAAAUGUCAACUCAGAGGCAAUGCCUAGCAAUGGUGGGACACCAUCCUCCAGUAUAUCCCUCCAGUAUGCACUUCAGUCAGUGGUUCUCAACCAGGGGCAGUUUUGCCCCUGGAGGAAUAUUUGACAAUGUCUGGAGACACCUUUUUGUUGUUGUAAUGUAGUGGAGUAGGGGGUCUUGGGGAGGUGAACUGGGGUGGGUUGUGUUGUACUGGUAUCUAGUGGAUAGAGGGCAGAAGUACACUAAACAUCUUACACUCCAUAGAACAGCCCUCCCCAACAAAAAAUUAUUCCACUUAAAAUAUUAAUAAUGCCAAGGUGAAAAAACCCUGCUUUAAACCAAUGACCUUUACAUGAUGCUGUGUCCCUGUAGUUGAAAUUCAUUGAUCUGGGACCCAUGAGUUAAAAGCCAAGGAGCGCCACUUACCAUCACCACCAUUGACCUUCUCGGGGAGGGUUUCCCAUUUCUACAACUCUGGGCUUGAUGAGUUUAGAGGUUUGGUUUCCAAAUACACACGAGUCUUAUUGGACUAAAAGCUACAGCUGUUUCCUGGGCACUUCAGGCUCAUCUUACCAAGGGAGAAGCAGGCAAGAGGAGGAGUGACUCUCUUGGCAGGGGUAAUUGACCCUAAUCAUCACGAGGACUUAGAACUGUUUUUACUUAGUGGGGUAGGAAAAAUACACUUGACUUCUACAAGGACUUAGAGCUGUUUUUACUUCAUGGGGCAAGAAAACUACACUUGGCUUCUAGAUAUCUACUUGAGCAUCGUCUCUUGGUAACCGCUUCCCCAAUUUUGAUGUUAAAAGGACAAGGGCGGCACUUGGGGCCUGGGAAAGGCACAGUUACUGUAGGCUUAGACCUUUGAGGAUGAGGGUCUCAGUCACACCACCAGGAAAAACAUCGAGGCUAGCAGAAUGCUACCUGAAGGCAAAAGGAAUCUAGAAUGCAUAAUAGAAAAGAGAGAUGUGAGUAUCAAUUGUGGUCUGGAGACAAGCUUCAGAGAUAAAGGUUGUUUUGUUCUACUGACAUUCCUCCUAUAAGUUUCUUUAGGAAAAGAUGCCCAUGGAAUCCUGGAGGAACUGCUUCUGGAACUUAUGGUGAAGAAGUGGAUAUGAGCAUUACAGAGGAUGAAAUUUAGUGGAUGUUGUGAUGUGCUACCCAGAUGCCCCUCAAGAACUGAAGAGUUUCCUCUCCCCUCUGGGAAUGCUGCCAGCAGACAGCCUUUAGCUUCCAGACUUCUUAGAAACUGCCUAGGCUGAAGAGUGUGACCUCUCUUAAGGCUGUACUUCUUUCCCAGACCAUGUUCAAUGACUUGUUGAUGUAGAGGUAUAAAGGCCUCAUCCCUUUGCUCCAAUUUAAUAUAAUUUGGAAUGGCCAUCUCAACUAUAAAAUUCCUUGUGGGCUGGGUGUGGUGGCUCAUGCCUGUAAUUCUAACUACUUGGAGGCUGAGGCAGGAGGAUUGCUUGAAGCCAGGAGUUCAAGACCAGCCUUGGUAACCCUUUCUGAAAAAAAUAGAAAAAAAUAGCCAGACGCAAAUUACAGGCAUGUACCUGUUGUCCUAGCUGUAUAGGAGGAUGAGGUGGGAGGAUCACUUGAGCCUAGGAGUUCUAAGCUGCAGUAAGCCAUGAUUGCACCACUGCCUGGGUGACCGAGUAAGACCCUAUCUCUUAAAACAAAACCAAAGAACCCCAACAAACUCCUUAUAGAAUCUGCUGAAGCUUUUCUUGAGAGUGAAACACAGCCUAACUUUUCCCUCUGCUCAGUCCUGCUUGAUUCCCUUCCCUUCAGCAUGUUGCAGCCUUAAGAACCUUCCUUCUGGCUAUAAUCCCUGUCUCAGUCUGCUUCCUUGGGAACCCCAUCUGUGGCAGGUUACAAAUUGAGCCAAGGCAGUAGCAAUGGAGCUAGUGUAGACUUUUUAAGAUAUUUUAAGGAACAAUAGCGUUCACUACCAAUUGGAUGUAAAAGGAAAGGAAGAUGGAAGACUUAAUUAUAACUUCCACAUUUACUUGGACAACUGGGCAGUCAAUGGUGCAUUCAUCAAGAUAAGGAAUACAAAAGUAGAAGCAGAGUUUGGGGGAGAAAAUGACCAAUUUCUUCUUGUACAUUUUCAUCAUGUAUAUAAAGGAAAAUGCAACAACAUAAUAUAUGGAAAAUUAUUAGAUUAGACUAUAAAGUGCCACUUUUAUAUGUCAAAUUUGUUAAAUAUUGGCAAUUUCAAAUGGAUGAAACUAAUAAUUAUAUAUUAGCUUCUACAUGGGAAAAUUUACUAUUUUUAUUAAACCUUAGGUAGGUCAUGUAAGAUUUUAGAAAGGCAAUAUGUGUCAGAGUCAAAAGAUAAUAUUUUGGAUAAUAUAUCAUUUACAUUUAAGCUUCUGAAGCAAGAAUAUAAGUCACAUAUUGUUGCUUUAAGGCACAUUAGGGGAUCUUGAUGAAAUUGGGAACUUUGAUUUACAUCCAUUUUCUUCUAGAAGUUGAGACAUAAUUGCCAUAAGUAGAGCUAGGAAAGGUCACAGAUAACUUAAUUUCUAUGCCAAAGCUUUCUAUAGCGUGCUAUCAUCUGUCUUUAAAAAAAAAAAAAAAAAAAAA